rnacentral:tRNA from 1 species
UCCCUAGUGGCUCAGUUGGUAAAGAAUCUGCCUGCAAUGCAGGAGACCCAGGUUUGAUCCCUGAGUUGGGAA